GUACAAUGGAGGUGCUGGGGUUGUCGCUGACCUUUGAAAGGGUCGUGCACGCCUUGGUGCUUUCACACAUAAUCCAUCUCACCCCUUUUGUGCAUCACCGCGUGGGGGCCCCUUUUAGCUAGUUCUGAAGGGGGCUUUCACGUUUAUACAAACGCACCCUUUUAAAUGCAAUAUGUAGAAUGUCUUACUUUUUUUGCGAUCACACGCAAUCAAUACAACUUUCAACAACGGAUCUCUUGGCUCUCGCAUCGAUGAAGAACGCAGCGAAAUGCGAUACGUAAUGUGAAUUGCAGAAUUCAGUGAAUCAUCGAAUCUUUGAACGCACCUUGCGCCCUUUGGCAUUCCGAAGGGCACACCCGUUUGAGUGUCGUGACAUUCUCAAAACCUUCUUGGUUUCUCGACUGAGAAGGCUUUGGACUUUGGAGGCUUUUGCUGAACCUUCCCUUGUUGAAGCCAGCUCCUCUGAAAUGAAUUAGUGGGGUCUGCUUUGCUGAUCCUUGACGUGAUAAGAUGCUUCUACGUCUUGGNUUUUGCACUGUUUUGCUCUAGAUCCUGCUUCUA
rnacentral:rRNA from 1 species